rnacentral:rRNA from 1 species
GACGAACGCUGGCGGCGUGCCUAACACAUGCAAGUCGAACGGGGUAGAGAGCUUUGGUUUUCUGCUUAGUGGCGAACGGGUGAGUAACGCGUGAGAAACCUGCCUUUCAGUGGGGGACAACAGUUGGAAACGACUGCUAAUACCGCAUAAUGUUAUUUGAGGGCAUCCUCGAAUAACCAAUGAUUUAUUGCUGAAAGAUGGUCUCGCGUCUGAUUAGCUAGAUGGCGGGGUAACGGCCCACCAUGGCGACGAUCAGUAGCCGGUCUGAGAGGAUGAACGGCCACAUUGGGACUGAGAUACGGCCCAGACUCCUACGGGAGGCAGCAGUGGGGAAUAUUGGGCAAUGGGGGAAACCCUGACCCAGCAACGCCGCGUGAAGGAAGAAGGCCUUCGGGUUGUAAACUUCUUUUACCAGGGACGAACAAAUGACGGUACCUGGAGAAAAAGCAGCGGCUAACUACGUGCCAGCAGCCGCGGUAAAAC